AAAAAGAAAUGUUGUUCAUGUAAAAUAUAGCUGCAUAAGCUAAUUUCUAUUUAAUUAAAUUUCCAACAUUUAAAUUAUAUAUUCAGAUUUAAUUUUUUUUUUCUUUCAUAUAAAGAAAUUCUCCUUGUAUUCUAUACUACUUAAAAAAUAUUACCAGUCAGCGAAAGUAUGAAAAUCAAAAGAUCAAAAUUAUGAGGAAAUGUGACACAGUUCCUGACAAUUGAAGACGAUUUAAUGACGGCUGUUUCUGAAUUUGUACAUUAAGCAGACAGGAGUUCUAGGGUUAAAUGAGUUAGCUGUUGUAAACCCUUGGGGUCAAUGGUACAGAUUAUUACGGUCAAUAUAACUUAAUCUCGCGUCGUUAGUUAAACAGAAAAUGGAACUUUUUGUGUACGAAUAAAUCACAACUUUCACUAUAGCAACCAACUUUAAAUUCAUAUUUAUAUAUGAAUGAAUAUAUCUCAUCGGUAUGUUACGUCUAACACAACAACUUCAGCACCAGUCCUCAAUGUACACUAGAUAAGUUGAAUUUAGCAAGUCGUUAAGUGAGAAUACUUCCACUGGGAUGUGCGAACAAAAAACAUGAUCAAAAUCAUGAUUAUGCAAUGAAUUUGACAAAAUUUCGUCAUUUUGCAGAAAUUACACGUCUGUGUGUUGUAAAAAGUUUUUUUUAGAGAUUUAUUCGUUUGUAACUAUCCAUGUGACUACACACUCGUUAAUCUUUACAGUGCAAAGAAUUAGGAAAAUCCAAAGGCUUUCAUGCAGUUAAAUGUUCUUAUUCCAUAAAAUAACAAAUUGAGAAAGAUGGCACCUACUCGAUAAAAACCUUAAAAAGCACUGGGAAGGAGUUUUCAAAGGAAAAUUAACGCUAUGUUACCCUAUUCCACGGGUGUAUGAAGCAAGUUGUAAAUAGUCGGGCUGACUGAUACAUGUUAAAAACUAGCAAGCACAUGUAACAUACACAAAUCGGAAGAAUCGAAAGUCGAUUUUUUCUAUAAAUUCAUUGAAACACGCACGCUCGAUGUUGUCUACAAGUGCUAAUGAAAUAUUUGUAACCUUCAUGUUGUUACAGGUGUAUAAACACGGGGGUUGAUCAAUCCGAUGACGUCACAAUAGACAUAUAAUCAGCUGAGUUGAUGUUGCUAAGAUACAUGAAAUAUGGAGAGAAGUAUUAGCUGAAGUUAAACUACGCAAUGCUAAUAUCAGAUUUGAAAUAUUCGAUAUAUUAUAUAAAUCUAAAAUGGUUAUAUAAUGUUCAGUAAAGGAGUUAUACACUAAUUAAAAUAGUGGCCAUAAAUAGUUUGAUGUAAAAAUAACUGAUUGUAUUUUCCGUGUUUUAUUCCUGACGGAUGUACAAACGGAAUAUAUUAAAUCUAAGUUUGACAUGGUAUACUAUGGAACGCCAAGGCUGCCUUAUUCGAUGAUUUCAUUCGGUCAUAAAACACUAUUUGUCGCUAAUUGUAUUCGAUUUUGUUAAAAUUCAUUCGAUUUUGUAAAAAUUCAUUCGAUUAUGCGCUAAAUUCAUUCGAUUAUGCGCUAAGUUCAUUCGAUUAUGCGCUGAAUUCAUUCGAUUAUGCGAUGAAUUCAUUCGAUUAUGCGAUGAAUUCAUUCGAUUAUGCGAUGAAUUCAUUCGAUUAUGCGCUGUUUGCAUGUGAUAAAUUAUUCGAUGCGCUGAAUUCAUGCGCUAAAUUAUUCGAUGCGCUGUUUGCAUGCGCUAAAUUAUUCGAUGCGCUGUUUGCAUGCGCUAAAUUAUUCGAUGCGCUGUUUGCAUGCGCUAAAUUAUUCGAUGCGCUGAAUUCAUGCGCUAAAUUAUUCGAUGCGCUGUUUGCAUGCGAUAAAUUAUUCGAUGCGCUGAAUUCAUGCGCUAAAUUAUUCGAUGCGCUGUUUGCAUGCGAUAAAUUAUUCGAUAGUUUUGGCGCCUCAAUCAAAAUUAAAAUUAAAAAAUGGUAACCUCUGAAUUUCUUAGAAAAUUAACAAUUUCGCGGGAACACUUUACCAUAGUGUUACGAUUAAGCGUCAGUCUAAUCUUGCAAAGUACAUCGAAAAUUUCUGAAGAAACUACGGAACAUUUAUUCUCCUAUAAUAUAAGAAAAUGAAUACAAACGAUAAGAGCUAAAAUAUAAAAAAUAUUCUCUCUGAAUAAAACAAAAAUUAAGUGUCCCUUUGGAAAGGGACACCGUAAACAAAACGAAGUUUACAAGUAAACAACUACCAAUUAUAAAAUAAGUUUUGAAUCAGUGAAAAGGUAACGAAAGAAAGCAUAAAUGUUUGCAUUUAAUCACAAGAGUUAAGUUCCUAAUAGGCAUAAAUAAUAAAACUGUCGACGACUUUUAAAUUUGUCCAAAAAAUCGACUAGAAAAGGCUAAGUCAUAUAAACCGAACAGAGCGUUUUCGUCUGGAAGGGAAAUAGCAUUACUUUCCAUUGGUAAUUGCAAUUGAUUAAUGCAAGUGUUACUUGUCGGAAGAAAUCGACCUUCUUCCAUCACCGGAACAAAUUUUAUCGAAGGGGCCAGUGCAAAUCCUAACAAAGGCUCUUCUUCACUUCCAGUGACAAACCUUAGUACAUCGGGAAGCGAAACACCCGAACGUUUUCCACCUAAACAGUAACAAAAAUAGAAAGUUUAUAUAUAGAUAUUUCUUCCGCACAUAAUUUCUUCCCUUAAGGUAGCAGAAGCCAGCUUCCUUUGUGAAACUCUGCUCAUACAAAAUAAAAAAUGUUUGGCUAUUUAGUUUAUAGAAAAGCGGAGCGAGCGCGUGGAAAUUUAAAUUUGACACUUACCAUGUGCUUGCCUCAAAUAUUUCAUUAAUGACGGAUAAAGCUUUUUCUGCCUGUAAUGUUCGUUUGACCCUUCAGCUGCCCAUUUUGGCUGAAGCAAGUUGACCAGUUUUUUAAAAGUGAAAGUAGCAUUAGGAUUGGGUCGGAAAAGGUGUAGCAUGAUAGGAAAGGCUUCCACAAUCUGAAAGCAAUGAUAACUAAUUAUAAUGAUAAAUAAACUCAUUGAGUGUAGAUGUAAAUACAAUGCUCAACAGAUCUUUUCCUUAUGUAUUUACUUACCGUAUUUCCUCUAUUAACGCCCCCUCUAAUAAACCUUAAAAUGCUGAAUUUAGGUAUUAGAAAACAGACGGAUAAGAGGAAAUACGGUAUGUUAAGAGAAAGCUUUAUGAGAAAAAGCUUCUUUUAGAGAAACAUCCAAAAAUAUAUAAUACAAACUUGGAAAAUUCCAAGAUCCUUGAAAGCUCUUCGGAGUUCAUUGAAUUUGCCAGGUUCUUCGUUAAAAAAUAUUUUUUGCAGGUCAUCUUCUUCCAAAAACUGUGGAAAUGGGCCAUUCUGAAGCAAACUCAAGCCUAAAAAAAUAAGAAUAAACACUCAUUUUCAUAGAAUAUUUAUCUUUUUAGAUUUUUUUUUAGUUUUUAAGAAGCUCACAACAACAAGAAAUGUUUUUGUGUUCCUUUUUUCAAUUUCUCACAGUGGUAUAACGCUGAGUGUAAUUACGUACCAAAAACUAUUCCAAUAUCAUAAUAAUCACUUAAAGGAAACAAGUUUAUUUCACAAUCAAAGUAUUUUUCUUUGAUUUCUCUUAUUAUCUGUUGAAAAAACUCUUUUCUUGGCCCUCCAUAAUCUUCUGCCAACUAAAAAUAUAAUAAUAUAAAUGAUAAAUAAUAUAAUAUAAUGAUUACACAAACAUGUCUGGUAAAAUAAACAAAUUAACUGAUGAACAAAAAAACAAUCUUAAUAUUAAACAUGAAGAUAAAAAUAAUACUCUUUCCUACCUCACCAUAAAACUGCACAGAUAAACAAAUCAACUUAUUUUGCAGUUCCCGUAUCUCUUCUAAACCAGUUUCAAUAAGAUUGGCCCGAUCAACCAUGAUAAAAUUUGUUGGUCUGUCAUCAUGAACCGCAAUAUCAGUUAUUUCUAAACUUCGACCUUGAACUAACUUCUGCUGCAUAUACCGUAAUAUCUCGACUGGUGAAUUCACUUGAUUAUCAAUGCAAUAACUGAUGAUGUU